rnacentral:rRNA from 1 species
GUCUACGGUCACACCACCCUGAAUGCACCAGAUCUCCUCUGAUCUUGGAAGCUAAGCAGGGUCAGGCCUGCUUAGUACUUGGAUGGGCGAAAACUACCUAUGCC